CCGGACCGGUGCACGAACCCAUGUCCCCUGCAUCGGCAGGCGGACUCUCAACCACUGCGCCACCAGGGAAGCCCAAAAUAGCAGAUUUUAAGUGUUCAGUUUGAGAAGUUUUGACAACCAUAUAUACUCAUGCAAGCAUCACCAGAAAUAAGAUAUAGAAUAUUUCUGUCAGUCUAGAAAAUUCUCUCAUGUGCUUUCAGUUCAAUUUCCCCCACCCCAAAGGCAACCACUCUCUGAUUUCUAUCACCCUACAUUUGUUUUGCCUAUUUUUAUCCUUCACAUAAAUGAAGUCAUUUAGUAUGUAGUCUUUUGUGUCGGGCUUCUUUUGCUCAACAUGGUAUUUUUUGAGAAAUAUCCACUUCAUUGUGUGUAUCAAUGCUUUCUUCUUAUUCUUAAGUAGUAUUUCAUUAUAUCAAAAUGUGUUUAUCCAUUCUCCUACUGGUAUUUAUUUGGAUUGUUUUCACUUUGAGGAUAUUAAGAAUAAGGUCUAUGAAUGUGCUUGUACAAGUCUUUUUGUAGACAUAUAUUUUCAUUUCUCUUGGAUAAAUACCCAGUAGUAGAAUUGCUGGGUCAUUGAAGAAAUGAAUGUCAGUUGCCAAACAAUUUUCCAAAGUUGUUGUACCAUUUUAUAUUCCCACCAGCAAUGUAUAAAGGGUCUGGUUCUCUACAUCCUCACCAACAUUUGAUGUUGUCAGUUUUUUAAAUUUUUACCAUUCUGGUGGAUGUGAAAUGGUAUCUCAUUGUGGUUUUAAUUUUCAUUUCUCUGAUAACUAGUAUGUUAAGCAUCAUUUAUAAAGUGUCUACUAAAGUCUUUUGCUCAUUUUUAAAAUUAGGUAAUUUGGGGUAUUUUUUAUUGUUGAUUAUACAUUCUGGAUAUGAGUCCAUUGUCAUAUAAAUGUAUUGAGACUAUUUUUCCCAGUCUGUGGCUUGCUUACUCAUUUUUAUAAUGAAUGUUUCAAUUUUUAAUAAGCCUAAUUUAUAUUUGUCUUUUAUGCUUAAUAUUUUCUGUGUCCUCUCUAAUAAAUCUUUACCUACCCUAAGAUUAUAAAAAUUCUUCCUAUGUUCUUAUAGAAACGUUAUGGUUCUAGCUUUUUACAUUUAGGUCUAUGAUUCAUCUCAAAUCAAUAUUCACUCAUAGAGGUCUAGUUUAUCUGACCUGAAUAACAACAUUUAUAAUCGAGCAAGAAAACAAAGUUCAACAGCAAACAGAGGAGAAUAUUUACUGGAUGACUGAUCUAAAGCAUCCUGAACGUUUCCGUAAUAAUUUAAGAUCUACUUGUCAAGUUCUAUGAAAAAGCCUUUACUGGAUUUAGAGAUUGCGUAGAGAAGAAUUAACAUAUUAACAAUGUCCAGCCUUCUUACUUCUGAGCUUGGUGUAUAUGAACAAGGCCUUCACAUGCUUGUGGUCCCUGCAGUAAAACCUCUUCAUUUGAACCACCUGCUGCAACCCUGAUUGAUACAAAGAGACUACACUGAAUAGCCAUGGAGUGCUUUGAAAGGAAUACCUGCUGUGAAUCUAAGUUUGUGGAACCAUCAGACCACACGGUGCAAGAGACCAUGGGUUUCAGAAUCAGACACACCUGAAUUAGCAACCAGGCUCUGUCACUUACUAGCCGUGUGACCCUGGACUAUAAAGAAAUUUGAGUUGAUUUCACCAAGGGUUGACAUGAGCUGAGAGGACAUCUCCCGCCAGGCAGGGAGCAUUUGGCGCUGCUCCUAGAAACUGAACCUGGAUAUCAAAUCCAGACGGUGCUUUCUUUUCAUUCUUUUGAGUUGAAUUCCUUGAAGAUGGAUGAGAAUCAUUGACAGUGAGUACAGUUGUCCUUCCAUAUCCGCAGGGGAUUGGUUCCAGGACCCCCACGGAGACCAAAAGCCACAGAUGCUCAAGCUCCUUAAAUAAAAUGGUGUAGUACGGUUGGCCCUCCCUUAUCCGUGGGUUCCCACAUUUGCAGAUUCAACCAGUGGUGAUCCGUCUUCAGUUCCAUCUUUGUGACCACCCUAUUGGCCUAGUGUCCAGUCUCUGCAAGGGACAUGCGCAGUCACUGAACUCAGGUUGUUCCAAAGCUAUGGUUUGCCAUCUGGCAUAUUUGGUUCUCCCUGUCUAAAUGCAGUUUACCAAUCAGGGGUCCAUUUUUACCAGCCACAUAGCUACACAGUUCACAAAUCACCUUAUCGGGUUGCCAGGGGAACAAUGCUAAAAAGUUAACAUAAGGUCAAAUUCUCAUGAAGGAUGGGAAAGGAUUUUGUUAACCGUUUACCCACAUAGAGGUUUCUGUCAACUUGACUGUAAUGGAUUCUUUUAAUAUAUUCCUAGAUUGUACUUACUAAUCAUUUAUUUAGGGCUUUUGCAUUGAUAUUCAUAUCUGUACAUGUGUGUAUGUUUGUGCACAUAUGAAAAGGCUAUUUUUUCAGGUGUAGAUAUCAAUGACUUCUCAGGAAUAAUUCGUAAGCAUUUCUUUUUUGAUAUUUUAGAGGAAUUUAAAUAGUAUUAGAAUUAUCUGUUCUUUGAAGGGGUGGUAUGCUCUGAUUGUGGUAUAGCUACAGCUGCUGUGUGUAGGCUGGAAAGCUUGUGACUCACGUUAUUUUGUAAAAUUAUUACUGUGCUCGCUUGGAAGGUACAGUAUAUCCAGACAAAAGGAAUAUCAUUAUAGAAAAUAAGAAUGUUAGUAUAUUUGCUGCUCCUUGUUGCUUUUACAAGGUAUCUUAAGAAAGGGAUGGCCUCGGGCAAGAAUUGGCUGUUUUACAAGCAGAAAUGUCAGGAAAUGAGAAUGUCCAGAAAUUUUGGGCCUCCCAGGGUUGAAAAAGACAACUGCUUUUAUGCCCUGAACAUUAAUAUAAAUAUAUAUCUGAUCCCUGUGGCAAGGAUCAGAGUAAGGGUGUGGCCCUCCCAAACAACCCUAUAAUUUCAGCUAGCCUCAAGGUGGCCUCCAUUAAGAUGAAAGAGUAAGGUAUGGACACGAGGAAUCAAAGAAAUAAAGCAGGCUUAAGAACUAGGACUAGAAAAGACUUUGGUUAUGUUAUCUGCACAAGGAACUGACUGGAAGCAAUUAGAUCAGAAGUCUAUUAGGGUUUUAAGGAGAUCUUAAAGCCACAGAAACCAUGAGUCUGGCCUGAAAAUGUGGUCUCUCUUAGCUCCUUAAAAGCAACACUCAGGCCUUCAAAUCUGUACCAGUAGAAAAAGAACUGUCAGUGAUGUACAGUCCCCAAGGAAGGCAUAUGCUCCAAUAGUCACUUCUGAUGUGGCCCUAGAGGAUGGAUGAACGGACAAGGUAGUAGAAGCAGGGGUGACCUGAUUGUCUGACCCUCCCUCUGCUGCCAGAGAAGAGCAUCUCCGUAAUUCUUGCUCACCUGGGGUCAGAACUGCUGUCAAGGGCUUCCCUGGUGGCGCAGUGGUUGAGAGUCCGCCUGCCCAUGCAGGGGACACGGGUUCGUGCCCCGG